UGAGGUAGAGGCGCGAUAUUUAACAGUCUUUAGUGGAGUUUGAGAAGCAGUGAUACUAAGGAGAAGGAAAUGUCGCCGAAGUGUGUAAUAGUCUCACUAUUGCAUGCUGGGUCUGCAGUUAAGAGCUGCAGGACUGUCUCAAUAAACCUCCAGUUUAUUGAG
rnacentral:ncRNA from 1 species